rnacentral:rRNA from 1 species
UAAUACGUAGGUGGCAAGCGUUGUCCGGAUUUACUGGGCGUAAAGAGCGCGCAGGCGGUCGUUCAAGUCGCGUGUGAAAGCCCCCGGCUCAACUGGGGAGGGUCACGCGAUACUGAUCGACUCGAAGGCAGGAGAGGGUAGUGGAAUUCCCGGUGUAGUGGUGAAAUGCGUAGAUAUCGGGAGGAACACCAGUGGCGAAGGCGACUACCUGGCCUGUUUCUUGACGCUGAGGCGCGAAAGCUAGGGGAGCAAACGGGAUUAGA